GGACAUUCAUCUCUAUCGACCGAGAUGAGAUUUGAUUCCCCUAGCCCACAGACACCCCACCCCAACUAUGACGAGCCUUCUUCCACUCCCACGGCUACCCCUCAAAACCCUCACAUGAUACGUCUGUUGGAUUCCUUUCGAAGCAAUUUGGUCGCCCACCCACACAGGUUGAGUUGUUUGUCGGGACACACAGAAAGAGAGACAGUUCGGGAUUUGUUGAUAGAAGGCUGACUUCCAAACGCGACAACACGAGGCAUUAUCACAGGCAUCGACAUUUGGCCAAUUAGAAGAUAAUGAUGCUGUCUAGCCCUCGCAGCCAGUUAUUGACGAGAGAUCAUUAUGGUUGGAGGUUGCAGGCGGUAAGAAAAAGGGUCGUGUCUAUGGGAUGGGGUCAAAAGCUUAUGUCAUCCUUGGUUCCUACUACCUACCACCGCCACCACCGCCGUCGUCGAGCUCAUUGGCAGAGCAGAUUCAAGAAAGAUGAUAGGACAACUAUUGAACCCUUUCACAAUCGCCUAUCAGCCGUUGAAGAUAGGUUGUCUCCCCCGCCGACGUCUUCAUCAUCACUGCCCCCAGAUCCUUCGGAUCAUUAAAAAGAUUCGU